UCAAAGUCAAUGUCUAUUUACCGGACCGGACAAAGACAUUGUGUUGUGACUCCGAGCGUCGAGAAGCAGUGGUGCCCAGUAUUUACGGCAAACACUGAUACUGCUCAUAAACGCAGCCGAAGACAACACUCUUUUUGUAUUUUUUUCCUUGUUGAAGGCCUUUGUUUUCCACGAGGCUAAAUUGCUUCCAUUCUCAGACAUAACAUUAUGACAUAUCUGUUUGUCUUCUUGUUCUUGUGCUCUGCUUCGUCUUCCUUGUUCUCUUGGAGCUGACUGUACGAGAAGAAGAGGGUUUUAUUUUCUUCUUCUACUUCUUCUGCUUUUAACUUUACUGGGUUUUUUCUAUUCACAUUCUGGACAUAGCAAUGGCGGACUACGUCUGUUUCUUCAGCAAGGAUGCUUUAAUUAUUAAGCCUGCGAAGAAAUCUACCUUAUUCUUAAGGAUGAUGGCUUUACUAUUUGCGAUGGUUUGUGGGGUUUUAAUCUGCUCAAUCCGGUUAAAACAUGUGAGCACUGGUACCAAAUUUAAAUACCAAAACAUCCUUGUCAUAGAGACAGCUUAUACUGAUAAUGACAUUAAACAAUCAGAGAUUUCUGGCGAUAAUGGCACUAAACAGUUAGAAGUUCCUCAAUUGCAUUACCCAGAUCCCCAGACUUUUAGCAGAGCUGAAUGCAAACGGAAUCCUGUUAGAUUGUUUGCCAUAAUAACAAUGCAGAGAUCAGGAAGUGGAUGGUUUGAGACCUUGUUAAAUAGUCAUAUUAAUGUGAGCUCAAAUGGGGAGAUUUUUGCCAGAAUUGAUCAGAGGAGAAGUAUUUCUUCAAUUAUAAAUACUCUAGACAAAGUUUAUAACUUGGAUUGGUUAACUAGUGCUUCCAAGAAUGAGUGCUCUGCAGCAGUUGGCUUUAAGUGGAUGCUUAAUCAGGGUUUGAUGGAGCACCAUAGAGAAAUAGUAGAAUACUUCAAUCAAAAGGGUGUUUCUGCUAUCUUUCUCUUUCGUCGAAAUCUGUUGCGACGGAUGGUUUCUGUAAUUGCAAAUUCCUAUGACCGCUAUGCUAAGCUAUUGAAUGGAACCCACAAGUCUCAUGUGCAUUCAACCCAAGAGGCUGAAACACUUUCAAGCUAUAAGCCUACCAUCAAUUCCACAUCAUUGAUAAUUGAUCUGAAGGAAGCGGAGUUGACAGCAACUCAGGCUUUAGAAUACUUUAAUAGUACUCGCCACAUCAUUCUAUAUUAUGAGGAUCUUGUUAAGAAUCCCAUGAAAGUAAAAGAUGUUCUCGAGUUUCUGAGGCUCCCACAGAUGGAACUAGCAAGCCGUCAGGUUAAAAUUCACAGAGGCUCAUUGUCAGAACAUAUACAGAACUGGGAUGAAGUAAACAGAACACUCCAUGGAACAGUGUAUGAGAAUUUUCUGAAUGCUGACUAUUAAAGAUGACUACUCUGCUAACUUGUAAAAGGUGUGAAUACCAACUUGAGCUGAUUGUUGUUAGAGACAGCAUAGCCACCCUGUUAAAAUUUUGGCAUCCAAUUUGUAUCACUUGCGCUCUCAAUCCCUCAUUGAGUAUUGUCUUUGGUCUUAUAUUGAUCAUAGAGACACCAUGUAAAUGUCAGAUGACACCUAAACCAGCAGAGGCUAGCUUGAAGAAAUUCAGAGCAGAAUUACUUCACUGUCAGACAAUUAUGAAUAUUGCUCUUGACUUCA